rnacentral:rRNA from 1 species
UACGUAGGGAGCAAGCGUUGUUCGGAUUUACUGGGCGUAAAGGGCGCGUAGGCGGCAAAUUAAGUCAGCUGUGAAAUCUCCGAGCUUAACUCGGAACGGUCAGCUGAUACUGAUCUGCUAGAGUGCGGAAGGGGCAAUCGGAAUUCUUGGUGUAGCGGUGAAAUGCGUAGAUAUCGGGAGGAACACCAGUGGCGAAGGCGGCGCUCUGGGCUGGAACUGACGCUGAGGAGCGAAAGCGUGGGGAGCGAACAGG